rnacentral:rRNA from 1 species
CUUUUGACCUCGGAUCAGGUAGGGAUACCCGCUGAACUUAAGCAUAU